ensembl:lncRNA
AGUUCCGACCCCUCAUAAAGAUACGGAGGAAACGGCCCUGUAAGGUGGGUGGCUGAUUUUGCCGUCUCUAAGGGGAGCCCGUGCCUUCUGGCUUCUGGGAAAGGAGGGAGGUGUUAUUGGGAGGGAUGUGUCUGUGUGGGUAGGUGUCUGUCCUGUGUAGGUCGGCCCCUGGACGGAGAGGGGGACCCUUUGGUUCCCAUGAAGCCCUCGUUUUGAUGGAUCGGGGAAGCAAGGACAUCAGAGCUGCUGGGCACCCUGCUGGUGAAAGAAAAUCGGGCAACUGAUGGAGGCAUUUUCGACUUUCUUCUUCCUUGGUCAACUUUCCAACCAAGAUGAGCCUAUUCAUGGCACCCCAAGGCCACUUGAACGUGAUUUGGAGAAUGUGGUUUUUACUGCUGUCAAGUUCGUAAAUUGAAGCUUAAGGAGGUGGAAAUCGUGGAAUAAACUUAAAAAAGUUUAUCGACAGGACUUGGUUGAGUAUCAGGAGACACAGUGCUGAUUCCUUACCAGAAGGGUAAGUUCCCGAUGAGUCAUGACAUGACCACAUGAUCGCAGUCCUUCUAAAAUCAGAGACACCCUAGAAUUCCCGUCUGUUUGAUGCCCUCGCCCAUUUCUCAACACUUUUACUAACUUAAAGCAAGUGUUAGCAAACUAUAGCCCACAGACCAAAUCUGCCUGCUUUUGUAAAUAAAGUUUUAUCAGAACACAGCUGCACCCAUCUAUUUAUUACGUGUUGUCUUUGGCUGCUUUUGAUUUGAGUGGUUUCAAUAGAGAGGGUAUGGUCUGUAAAGAUAAACUACUUACAUCUGGUUCUUUAAGAAAACAUUCGCUGACUCCUGUUUAAAGAAUUAAACACGAAAAAAACCCAUCUAAUCCAGAUUUAAUUUACCUCUCUCUCUCUCUCUCUUUUUCUGGAAGAAAAUGGUUGGGUAGAUGGUUAUAUUUUUCUCCCUUUAGGAAAUGCGGUGGAUGGCUUACCCCAUGCCCUGUCCAUGGUGCUGGACAUGUUUAACCUUCUCUCACCAAAACCAUUGUGUGUUUCCAGAAAGAGAAAACGGUUUCUAGGUUGGUGAAGACCUACCCGCUUGCCUGUCAUGUAGGAGGACACACUACUUAUACUCAUUGUCCCUCCGGCCUUCUUGGAGUGAAUAGACGGAGUGCCUCUUGUCGGGGGAAGGUUCCAUAUGUCUUUGCUUUUUAAUGAAGAGAGAUGGCUUUGUGAGUGUUUGCACAGCCAGAAGGUAUUGUAUUCGUGAUGAAGGGAGGUUCCAAUCCUGGCGUGAGUAUGAAUUAUGUUUACUCUAAGUGCCUGAAGGUCAAUCAAAGUAUGUGUACGCUUUCAGUGUCGCACCGUGACAGUGAGGUAUAAUAUUUAGAUGGCGUGGUAGCAUUUAUAUUCUAAAUGUGGACAUAAACCUCUUGUUUUACUCUGGAACUAAAAUCGAUAAUGAAACAGAGCAGCAUUACAUCAAAUCAAUUCUGAAAGGCUCUUGAAGCCAAUCCAAGUUGCAGAAAGAGAGAUGAAGGUAGUCAAAAUAUUUAGGCCAGAUAAUUUUGCAAAGUUUGAGCAUGUAGCUCAUGAAAAAUAGGGACAAUUAUGGGCUUGUAUCAAUAAUUCUGGUCCCUUAAAAUUGACUACUCUUUUUUUUUUUUUUUUUUUUUUUUGCCAAGGUGACUUCUAGAAUAGGGCAUCGCUAAGUAUGCCUAUUUUGAUAGUCCUCCUGCAAAGUUCCAACCUGACAAGAUUUAAAGAGGCAACCUGAAGGAUACCUAUGUUGGCUUUUUUGUUACAGGAUAUACACAAGUUUGAUUGCCUAGUCUCAGAAUAAAAAUAUAAAAUAAACCUAUGCAGAAUAAUAUCUGAUACUUCUCUUCCUAAUGUGCUUAAUUUGUUGCUAUUUUCCUAGGGGAAAAUUGUGACUUUGUAUUUACUCAACCUCGUCAUCACCUAGGAUUGUUCAGUCAACUGCUGUGCCAAAGUCGGGCGGGAAGCCAUGCUGACACUCGUAUGAUGGUCCCGUUUGAAGGACUGAAAUGCUACAGUGGAGGUCAAGUGUGGGUCAAGAAGGGAUCCCAGUGAAGGCGAGGUCUUCAGGGUCUCCUGCUGGUAGCAGGAUGAGGUUUCUGAGCAGAUCGUGACAUUUGCCUGAUAAUUUGCCCCCAGGGAGAUCUGGCUUUUCCAAACACUGUGAUGACGUUGUAAGAACUGAAUGAAAUAAGAGCAGAGUAGGCAUAUUCCAAACAACACUCUUAUUGCUGAGGUAUGUAAAAAAUAAAGAAGUCUUCAUGUCU